UAUAUUCUAUAAUAUACGUGUACUAUAUAUUUCGUAAAUUUUCCUCGAGAGGAAGUUUUGGAACAUAGCCUAAGACGCUAAUGCAGCCUUCCGAUUGGUUCAUUACUUAUGAAAGUUGCGCAAGCGUUGCCGCGUUCUGUGUGCGAGAGCCGAAUCAACGUCUCGGAAAAGUUUUGCGUGGUGAGGCCGACUUAAGAACAUGGAAUUAUUGGUUAGUGCGAUAACUCCGCCACGCGGCAAGCAUUGCUGCGUUCUGUGUGCAGAAGCCAUUAGGGUGCCGUCCCAUUGAACGGAAAUUGACAACGAAACGGAACGAACUACACGACUAACCUCUACUAAAAUCGAGGAAGAUAAAGACAGAGAGAAAGAGAGAGAGAGAGAGAGAGA